rnacentral:rRNA from 1 species
GACGAACGCUGGCGGCGUGCUUAACACAUGCAAGUCGAACGGAAAGGCCCUGCUUUUGUGGGGUGCUCGAGUGGCGAACGGGUGAGUAACACGUGAGUAACCUGCCCUUGACUUUGGGAUAACUUCAGGAAACUGGGGCUACUACCGGAUAGGAGCUCCUGCUGCAUGGUGGGGGUUGGAAAGCUUCGGCGGUUGGGGAUGGACUCGCGGGUUAUCAGCUUGUUGGUGGGGUAGUGGCUUACCAAGGCUUUGACGGGUAGCCGGCCUGAGAGGGUGACCGGCCACAUUGGGACUGAGAGACGGCCCAGACUCCUACGGGAGGCAGCAGGGGGGAAUAUUGCACAAUGGGCGGAAGCCUGUGGCAGCAACGCCGGGUGCGGGAUGACGGCCUUCGGGUUGUAAACCGCUUUCGCCUGUGACGAAGCGGGAGUGACGGUAAUGGGUAAAGAAGCACCGGCUAACUACGUG